rnacentral:misc_RNA from 1 species
AAUUAGUAUAAAUUAGAGGGGCAGACAAGGAAUAAAAAACAACAUUACAAAGGAGAUUUUGGUACAAGAAUUGGAUUAUUCUGAAAUUAUGCAGACCAUGAAUCUUCAACUUGCUGAUAAUGCCUUUCAUAGCUAUACACAGCGUUCCCAUAACUGCGAGCAUCAUCACUUCUUUCGCCGUAUGGAUAUGGAUUCCCAAACAGAUAAUCAGCACUUUCUUUCCAUUGAUUGCUGCAAUUUCCAUAAUCUGCAACUUGUUGACAAUCGUUCACUCUCCUUGCAUAAC